AGCAGCCGCGGUAAUUCCAGCUCCAAUAGCGUAUAUUAAAGUUGUCGCAGUUAAAAAGCUCGUAGUUGAAUUUCGGGGUCAGUAGGUUGGUCAUGCCUUUGGUAUGUACUGGUCUCACUGAUUCCUCCCUCUUGAAGAACUGUAAUGUCAUUAAUUUGGUGUUGCGGGGAGUCAGGACUGUUACUUUGAAAAAUUAGAGUGUUUAAAGCAGGCUUAUGCUUGAAUACAUUAGCAUGGAAUAAUGAAAUAGGACGUUUGAUCCUAUUUUGUUGGUUUCUAGGAUUGACGUAAUGAUUAAUAGGGAUAGUUGGGGGCAUUAGUAUUCAAUUGUCAGAGGUGAAAUUCUUGGAUUUAUUGAAGACUAACUACUGCGAAAGCAUUUGCCAAGGAUGUUUUCAUUAAUCAAGAACGAAAGUUAGGGGAUCGAAGACGAUCAGAUACCGUCGUAGUCUUAACCAUAAACUAUGCCGACUAGGGAUCGGAUGAUGUUAAUUUUUUCAAUGACUCAUUCGGCGCCUUA
rnacentral:rRNA from 1 species